rnacentral:misc_RNA from 1 species
CCCCACUCAAGCAAAAAAUUUUCUUGCUUGGUCAUGGGCCCUCGUCCUCUCCCCUCGGGUUGGGGGACGUGCCUGAAAGUUAGCGGCGGUGCAGCUGGUCCUCGAGCGCAUUAGCAAUACAUUCGCUACGAGGGACUUCCAGGUCUGCUCCAGCCGGAAAACGACCCUUUUUCCAAC